CAGACCCGAGCGCUGUGGAACAGCAAGGUCCCGCGAGACUCCGAAAUUGUGGUCUCUAGAAAGAGCGAGGUUGAGUUACAGCCCUGAGGAGGGUGGUUGCAGGUUCGGCUUCCGCCUUUGUACCUCUAGCCGCAUCUGUCUUUUUUCUCAUUUUGCGCUUCUUGUGUGAGGAAGACGUCGUAACUGUGUAGGGGAGGUUUCUGCGCCCCGGGGCGCUCGGGAGGAGACGGAAGAAGCGACUUUUCCUGCAGGGUAGCUAUGCUCGCCCGCGGAGGGCCCGCGGCCACAAAUCGCCGCCGGGAAGGUGUGGUUUCUGGUUUCGAGUCCGCCGCCCCCUUCAGAAGUAGCGCCAGAGGGGCGAGGGCGUCGUCUACGGUUCCAGCCAGGCACUUACUUUCCUAGUUCGGGACCCGGCUUGGUCUGACCGUCUUUACCCUGCUGGAUGGUAGGAGCCGGCUCAGAGCCAGAGAAAGUUUUUGAAAGGUGUAAUAUUCCAGUCCUUGUUUAACAGCUGCGCCUGGAGACUGAGUGCUCUGUAGUGUCUGCCCGAUGGUUUGUCCACUUUGUUCUUUGUUUUUUUGCCAUUUAUUGGGCCGCUCCGGCGGCAUAUGGAGGUUCCCAGGCUAGGGGUCCAAUCGGAGCUGUAGCCGCCGGCCUACACCAGAGCCACAGCAGUGUGGGAUCUGAGCCACGUCUGCAACCUACACCACAGCUCACGGCAACGCCGGAUCCUUAACCCACUGAGCAAGGCCAGGGAUCGAACCUGCAACCUCAUGGUUCCUAGUUGGAUUCGUUAACCACUGAGCCACGACGGGAACUCCCUGGUUUGUCCACUUUGAUGGCUUUUGCUGAAGCUUUGCAUUUUCUGGUCAUUGGGUGUCUUCUACCUGGGUGAUUUUCAGGUAAAGAUAGAGGCUGAGGGACCAAAAGUGUCUUAAACCUUCAGAAGGACAGUAACAGUUGUUUGCUUCCUAACUCCUUGUUAGCAGAAUACAGAUCUUGGAACUAAUCUCUAAUCUUCUGAAUUGUCUCUGUUGGGUAACUUUACUGAAAUCUGGAUAUGUGGUCAUCAUUAGUAACCCAGAAUUGUCUAUCAUGCCAAACAGGGUAACAGGGCAAAAAUACCUGCCACUAGAUUCUGUUGACUCUGUGGGCAGAGUGAUUUUUACAUAUUUUAAAGUAAUUUUAAAAAAUAAAAGGAGUUCCUCUGUUGUGGCUCAGCGGUAAAGAACCUGACCAGUAUACACGGGGACCCGGGUUCUAUACCUGGCUUCACUCAAUGAGUUAAGGAUCCGCGUUGUCCUCAGCUGUGGUGUAGGUCACAAAUGCGGCUCAAAUCCUGUGUGGCUGUGGCUGUGGCAUAGUAGGCUGGCAGCUGCAGCUCUGAUUUGGUCGCUAGCCUAACAUCCUUAUGCUGCGGGUGUGGCCCUACAGAUAAAUAAAUAGAUAAAUAAAAGGAAAUAUAUGACACGUGGAAAUUAUAUGAAAUUCAAAUUUUGUCUUUGGUGCUCUUGCCAAUAGCAGAGUUGAAUAGUUACAAGUGAGACUAUAUGGCCUGUAAAGAAGUAGAACUAGGAGUAAAAAAGGGUGUGAUCCUCAGACUGUCCGUGUAAAUUCCCAAGCCUUGGGAAUGACCUCCUCUUGUUUAAAAAAAAAAAAAAGUCUUAGUCCUGUCAGAGAGGAAAACAGCUAUGGGCAUCUUUCUAAGAGAAGACCCAGGGAGUUCCCGUCGUGGCUCGGCAGUUAACAAUUCCGACUAGCAUCCAUGAGGAUGUGGGUUCGUUCCCUGGCCUUGCUCAAUGGGUUAAGGAUCUGAUGUUGUCGUGAGUUGUGGCAUAGGAGGCAAAUGUGGCUUGGAUCCCAAAUUGCUGUGGCUGUGUGUGGCAUAGGCUGCCAGAGUGCAGGAAUCAGAACACAGCCUAUCUUGGCAUAAUACUGACAUUGAGCAAAAAAUUUGUCCUCUUUGUGCCUCUGGAGUAAUGAGGUUUUACUGUUGAUAGUAUUUAACAUUUAUUGAACACAGUAUACACUAUAGAUGGUUCCUGGUGUUGUACAAGCUUUCCUCGUUUAAUCCUCACAGCGACUCUAUGAAGUGAUUAUUUUUUACCCAUCUUUUUCAGAUGAGGAAACUGAGGCACAGCGAGUUUAAAUACCUUUCUCAAAGUGAUGGGGCUUUGGUCUGAAGUCUUGCUGUAAAGGCCAUGUUCUUAACCAGUAGGCAUUGUCUGUGACAACUCUCCAUGUAUUCCAACAGGAUGGGGAUUUGGAUCAGAACAGUGACCCCCCAAGAAAGGAGGUGACACCCAGAGGACUAGACCAUCCACAGACUGGAGACCAAGGAUCCGUCUCAUUCCUGCAGAGAGAACAGUGUCUUCACAAGGCCACCAGACAUGCCCACAUCCCCUCAAACGUCCAGUCUCAGGGAACCAGCCAGAUGGAAAACCCCCUUCCAGGGCCCCCUGUGUUUAUAGACCCAGUCUUGGUGGGGGGUGUAGGCUGGUCUGAGGGAGGAUGAACUUCCUUUUGCCUGUCCCCAGGUCCUAGGCCGAAACCCCUCCCUGUCCAUCCCUGUCCUCUGGUCCCUGUGGUCUCACCCCCACAGGAAACCUUCCCCUAAGUUCCAAGCGCCCAUACUUUCCCAUUUCAAUCCCAUCGCUGUCCAAUGCAACGUGCGGUUUCCCAGACUGUGAAGGAGGCGGAGCCUGGCGCCGGAGGCGGGGUUGAGGCUGAGGUGCCGCCCUGACCACCUAGCAGAGAGCCGCCCUUGCUAUGCAGGCUUGUGGCUCCCCUCGCUGGUCUUUCCGCCCUGCUGUGGGGCACAGUGUUUGCCUCCUCCUACCUUGAUUGGGCUGCCUCCUGUCAGGUGGUCAGCCCCUCGUCACAACCGCCAUCACCCCCAGCUCCACAGCCCUCGUCCAGCCUCAGGGCUGAUCCAGGACCAUUUCCUGGCCUCCCCGGGCUCCCACGCCUGCCUACCCUUGGUCGGUGUCCGCACAGGUGAGGGCUCCCUCCAGAUGCUUCCAAAGUUUCACCCCAACGUUCUCUGCAGCCGGGGUCAGAAAUGGGGUGUCUUGGGGCCCCAGAAUCUCAAGGGCCCUCUACCAGGGGAGAUGUGGGAGACUGGGUGGUAGUUAAGUUGAAUCCAGUGCCCUCCUGGGUAGGCAGCAUCCUAGCCCCUGUGGAUCACCAAUAAGCUGGCUCCCUUCUUCCCUCAGCCCCUAGGUCUGGUCCCUGGCUUGUGUGAAAUUCCCUAGGAUGAAAUCUGGUGCUUGAGGUUCCCGGAGGCUUUGGCCUCCUGAACUUCCAGGAAGGGAUAACAGGAGUGGGAGAAGCCUUGUUUGUGGAAAGGGAGCUUCUGCCAGAACAAAGCCUGGGUCUGUCGCUGCCCUGUGUGCUUAGGCCCCUGUGUGCUGGAACAGAAAUGUGAGAGCCAGGCUCCUUCCCCUUCCCAAGACACACAGGAUAUGUGGGGCGCUGGUCACUGGACUCCCAUGCAUUAAAACCCUUUCCCAGGGCAGGCCUGUUGGGUGAGAAACACCACCUAAAGCCUAUUAAUGGGGCAGGGGGUGGCCAGGACCAGAGUGGAGGAUGAGGGCAGGGAGAGUUUGAAUGUAAGCCGAGGGCAUGCUCUCCCUGCAGUGCCCCCAAGGGAGCCCAGGUGGAAGUGGACCCUACAAGUCAGAGCCCUCAUAGCUCUGACACCCACAUCCUGGGCCUUUAGGUGACAAAUACCCAAGUGACCCCAGUAUUUGCCAGCACUUGCUGCAGUUAGGGCCUACCCCGUCUUCUUCACUGCUCAGUCCUCACCCUUCCCAGAAGGCCUCCUGGGGGCUAAUGGGAUGGGGGUGUCCAUGGCAGGAGCAAGGGUCCCGAAUUGGAAAAGGAACCCUUCCUUGCCAAGCCAGAGAGCCUCGGCCAGACUAGGACCCCAGCGGGAUCCAUAUGACUUAAUUUUGUAAGGGGACCAUGGUCUCUGCCUGUGGAAUGAGUGUAGGGAGCACUUAGAGCCCCAGCACCAGCUCCAUGGACAGCACUGGCCUUGUGGGCCUGGACGGUGUGCUCCUCCCCCCACCCCCACUGCCUGUCAGUCAUGACAUGUGACACUGGCUGCUGGGCUUCCAGUCAGGAGGGGCCCAGAGGUAGCACCUGGUACCAGAUCAGAUGUGUCUUUCCACGGACAGUGGACAUACUAGAUAUGAGGGCUUUGCUUUGUGUCCAGAAAACAAACUGAGGCUCUAGAAGCUGAACUGUGCUAUGGACUUGAAAACCACGUGCAAGACAAGAUCUCCCAGUGGACACUGGCUUAGAAGCUUCUGUCCAGGAGCUGACCACCCCCAUGGUGGGCACGGCUGGACUCACAAUCCACAGGCUCCCCAACCCAGAGCCUGAAGGGCCGAUGCUGGCAGGGCCUGAGGACAAGAGAAGUCUCUCCACCCACGCUGCUCAGCUCUUCCUCCCCAGUGGCCAGGAGACGAAAGGCUGGUGGAGUCCGAGGUCUGGCACAGGCAAGGCUCCAUCCACUCCCUCCACCGGACUGCCUGCCCAGUCCUGUUUACUCAGGCCCACCGUCUGCACCUCCCAGUGUCCAGGUCCCACCGGCCCACACGUGGUGUGGACAUCCACAUAUACAAGAUGCCCUGGGUCCUCUUCCCACAAGGGCUGCUCCCCAUCUCUGCUUCUCCCUGAUGAUGGCCUGGAUCCUGCAUGUUCUUGGCAGGAAGAGGGUCUGUCCUGCUUGCCCCCUGGGGGCCCAGACACAGAGCUUGGGGGCUUCUGGGCCUAGGGGCCUGAAUGCUUCCAGGUGUAGUAUGAACUUUCCACUGACACUGGAGCCUCCCUCUCCAAGGAAACAGGAGGACCCCCCACAAAUGAGCCCAUCCCCAUGCUCUGCUGCGGAUCUGCUCGGAUUUUUUUUGGGGGGGGGGCUGGCUACACCCAUGACAUAUGUAAUUUCCCAGGCCAGGGAUCGAAUCGGAGCUGCAGCUGCUGGCCUAUGCCACAGCCACACAAGAUCUGAGCCCCAUCUGUGACCUUCAUCACAGCUUACGGUAAUGCCGGAUCCUUUACCCACUGAGCAAGCCAGGGAUUGAACCUACAACCUUAUGGUUACUAGUCAGAUUCGUUUCUGCUGCGCCACAACAGGAACUCCUGAAUCUGCUUGGGUUUGCUCUCCUGACCCUGAAGUAAAUCUGUGGGAAAUGGGACCUGUGAUUCCCCGAAGGAUGGUGUUCUGUGAGAUUUCCACAAGACCACUCUCUACCCUGUUAUGAGCAAAUUACUAGUCAGUCCAUGCUUCUAUCACCCCUUGAGCAGAUUGGGAAGCUGAGGUGCUGAGAAUCCAAGUAACCCACCCAGAAGCACAGAUGUGGGGCCAUGGAGUAGGGGUUUGCCUCCACUACCCCCCUCUGAAGGGGCCCAGAUCAGAGUCUUCUCUUAGGGGAUUCACUUUGCAAACUUUCCCAUCAGUGGGAUUCAUGUUACAAAAUCUUCCUUUGAUGGGAUUUGUCUUACAAUCCUGUUUUGGGGUCUCUGAGGAGGCUUGUCCUCCUGAAGUGGGUUCAGACCACCCAAGCCCCACCUGUUGGUCAGAGCUGACCCUGAGCACCUUAGAGGAGAAUCUGAACUAGCAAACAGACAUCCUGGCAGGUCUGUAACUUUGGGCUUCACUCUGCAGCUUCCCUUUAUUUGGUCUUCCAGAGGCUUCCACAGCAUCCAGGGUACCCGGCCCCUGUCUCCACCCACCACCCCUCCUCUCCUUGACUCCCAGGUUCCUCUCAUGAGGAGAGGGUCUUCUUGAAAUUGUCUCCCGCUUGUGGGCCAGUUAAGUGAUUAGAAAACUAGCCAGAGCUGCAGCCCCAUGUCUAUCCUGACCCUCAGAAGCCCACACCUGUUCCUUGUACCUAGCCCGUGCAGCAAGGCCCGUUUUCUGCGACUGUAAGGCCCUGAUGGGUGAGGAUUGGUUGACCUGAGCUGGCCAGCCCUUUCCAGGUGUGCUGGGUUGAAGUCUGUAUAAAUAGCUCCUCCCGUCAGCAUGAGCACCUGCAGCUGGACCUGACGGUAUACUUCCUGUCUUGUCAGUGGCCGUAAGGCUGGGCUGGUAGGAGCGGGGUGAGGGGCCAUAGCCUUGCAGGUGACCUGGUCUGAGUGGGCCUCUGCUGGACCUUGUGCAGGAGUUGCUGGGCCACCAUCUGCUAAGGAAGACGAUGUGUCGCCUGUAACUGCUACUGGAAGUUUUCUCUGGGGAAGAGGGGGCUGCUGGCUGCAUGUGAGAAAAUUCCUCACCUCUGACCAACUUCAGAAUUGUUCAUCAGUGUGGACACUGUCAUUAGAUUUAGGGUCACCCUAACACAGAUGACCUCAUCUCCAGAUCCUCAACUAUAUCUGAAAAGACUCUUUCCCAGGAGAUGACCAAGGCCCCAUAUGGACGGGGGCAAACAGCAGCCAUGUGAAUGGGGUUCUGGGGAGAAUGAGGACCCUGGAAGCACCAGGAAAGGAUCCAGGCCUGGCUUCAUCAGGAGCAGGAGGCCCUGAGAAUCAACAUGUGCUGCCCUGAAGACUAACCAGGAGGAUUUGGGAGGGGCCGCUAGAAGGAAGGAGAUGACCAGCCUCCCAGGAUCCUUGGUGCCGGAGUCCAUCUUGGCUGAGAGAGCUAAACCCCCAACAAAUGGAAAACUGGAGAGGAGGACCACCAGCACCAGUCCUGGGGCUGCCGAACACCAACUUUGAAGAAGAAUGCAAGCUUGCAUCUACCCUGAUCCUUACCUGUGGCCCUAUUUUCUACUGCCACACUGUGUAAAAUCCCUUCCUGAUCUCUCCCAAGGUGGGGCACAGUCUUUAGGGCAUUAGCCUGCUGUGGCCUCCUUUGCUUGGCAAAGCAAUAAAGCUAUUUUUUUUCUCUUUCACCCAAACUCUGUCUCUGUUUCUAUUUAGCACCAGUGGACAGAGACCAAGUUUUGGCAGUUGUACUCUAUCUGUCUCUAGGUUUUCUGAGAGAAUGCAAUCCUGUAUUUAAGGGAGUGUCUGAGUAGGACAGUCAUGCCUGUGUGUUCUGUACUUUAUGUUCUGUGUUGUCUUCGUGAUGGCCAUUCUGCCUCAUGAAAUGGGAAAUUCUGGUUCUUCUUCCAUUGUGGUGCCCUCUUGGGUGAUUUCUGACUGGGAAGAUUUUAGCUAUGAGCCCAAGACUAACAAAGAUAUUUUAACCCUAUAUGGACACAACAUUCUUUUUUUUUUUUUUUCUUUUUUUCUUUUCUAGGGCCGC